rnacentral:rRNA from 1 species
AGGCAGCAGUGAGGAAUAUUGCACAAUGGAGGAAACUCUGAUGCAGCAACGCCGCGUGGAGGAUGACGCAUUUCGGUGUGUAAACUCCUUUUAAGAGGGAAGAUUAUGACGGUACCUCUUGAAUAAGCACCGGCUAACUCCGUGCCAGCAGCCGCGGUAAU